GGACCUCAAAAUGAACCACUAUAAAUAUCCAAAGGACAAAGAUGCUGUAACAUGAAGCAGACCCCGAUAUGAAUGUGAUGCAGCCGUCUGAAAUCUCUGUGUAACAAAUAGUUAGCGUCCGAUGGCAAUGACGAGCCAUUAAGAUCAGCUGUGCUGUUUAAUUAUUCUUAGUGAACUUUGUGCAAUUAAAUAUAUAUACUAUUAGGGGUGCAAUGUAAGAGACACAGUGAUGUUCACCCACUCCAGGUCACGGCUUCCAGAAAGGUGAAAAGGUCUCUAUUUGUAUCGCACAGAACCAGAUUAUGAUAUUCUGUAUGUACUGAGCAGUAUACACAACACACUGCACAGUCAACAAGCCAUUUACAGUUAGCUUAAUGGCCAUCGAAGCACCUAAAACUACAGCUCUGGACAAAAGUUUUGCAUCAUGAAGUCUGUUAUUAGUAAUAUUGAAAUGAUCAGGAGCCAUGAGUUUGAGCAGGGUUACAAACUCACAUUAGCCCUGCUGCUGCUGUUGCACCCAGUCCUGGGGUUCAGAGCUCCCCUCAAUGAAGUCUGUUAUUAUUAAUAUUGAAAAGAUCAGGAGCCAGGAGUUUGAGCAGGGUUACAAACUCACACUAGCCCUGCUGCUGCUGCAUCCAGUCCUGGGGUUCAGAGUGUGGCGACCACCACAUAAAUUAUGUUAAAAAUACAUCAUUAUCUGUUCUUUAAUUAGAAUGGAUUACACCUGGCCAGGUUAAAAUACAUUGUUCAUCUCUGCCUUAUUUAUUAGCCUAUCUCCCGUUUGGCUUAGUUGUCCAGGCUUGAGGGGGAUUUAUCGGGGUUCAUUUUAUUUCUUUUUUCUAUGGGAAGGUUCUUCUAUUAUGCCAGUUACGGUAAUUGUUUUAAUUAAAGCCACCUGGGUUUCAUUGAUAAAAAGAGCGUAUUGUGGGAAACGGGAAAAAAUGGCCUGAAAGGAGAGCUGAUUGUUUGCAGGUUUUGUUGCGGUUUCUGCUUUGCUUUUUAAAUUAUUUAAGCUUAUUUAAAAACAUUUUUUUCUGGAGUAGCACUGAGCUAAUUGUCACGAAUACAGUUCUGGAAUGCUGUUCAUUUAUAUAUAUAUAUAUAUCUAUAUAUAUAGAUAUAUAGAUAUAUAGAUAUAUAGAUAUAUAUAUAUAGAUAUAUAUAUCUAUCUAUAGAUAGAUAGAUGGAUUAUUUGAAACUGAAGAUAACAGAGAUCGAUUUACAACCCAGGAACAACGCGCAGCCGGUCAUCGGACACACGGCAGGAAGGGCACAUCCUGGAAGACGAAGGGUUAACCAAAGUGGCCCGGAUGGUUUAGGCACUGACAGAGACAGCUGUGCAAGGACUCCUCUAGGGGCGGGGUUAAUUAUAUCCGUCAUUACGUUGGGUCAGUCUCCGUCAGUACGUUGUGUUUUUUUACCACAUGGUCUCUAAUCCUGAGUAUCUUUCUCACCACAUUACUGCAGGCUCGCUCUCUCUCUCUCUCUCUGAGAAGUGUUCUCCUCCUGUUUGCAGAAUCAGCCCCAUCGUUGCAUUUGGUAAUAUAUGAACGUUUAAACGAAGAAAAACGUCAACAAAGGAGUUUGUGAACUCCUGAAUAGAAAACGAAGCCUCUGCUCACCUUACCACCCUCAAACGAAUGGUUUGGUGGAAAGAAUGAAUGGCACCAUACAGAGAGCUCUAAGCAAACUUUGCCAGCAGAAGCCAGAGACCUGGGACACAUCUGGACGCGGUUAUUUUUGGGUUUAGGACAAAAAAAAGUUGACCACACGUCAUUUACCAUAUUUUAUCAUGUUUGGACGAGAGGCCCGCUACCCCUCUGAAGUUCCAGAAUCUUAUUGAGAACAUUCCAGAGAGAUUCAGUGCUGAGUAAACUUGGAGUAACUUCUAGAACUUUAUCGAACUUUCCAGUAAUAUAAAUAGUAGUAUAAAUACAGGGGCCUUAAGCCCACCAGUUCAGUUUAGUUCCAGCUGCCUAAGUGGAUACAUAUCUGCAUUUUUCUGAGAUGGCAUCAAGAGGCUGCAAGCAUCCAGCAGACGCAUUUUGCUAUGUCUGCGGCCAAUUUAUCAAGACGAGUGAAAAAGUACUCUGUGGAAGCAUCUGCUAAGAUGUGCGAGGCCUACAAGGCAUAUUUCGGCAUGCCUGUCGGGGAUCAAGACAAACCCUGGGCACCUCAUUUCACCUGCGAGCACUGCAAAAAAACUCUGGAAGGAUGGUACAGAGGGGAAAAGAGCCAUGAAGUUCGCUAUCCCAAGAAUUUAGCGGGAACCAACUGACCACUCAAGCAACUGCUACUUCUGCAUGGUGGACCCUUCCAAGCAGACAGAGUUCUCUGUGGGGAGGAACAACGUCAAGUGGGAGCCACUGGUGGACCCCUGGAAGGUGCUGAUGCCACCACUGCACAUCAAAUUGGGCCUUAUGAAACAAUUUGUCAGAGCUCUAGAUAAGGAGUCGGCAGCCAUCAAGUACUUUCAAGACUUCUUCCCUAAGCUGUCUGAGGCAAAGGUCAAAGCCGGUGUCUUCAUCGGACCACAGAUAAAGAAGAUCCUGGAGUGCAAUGAAUUCCCCAAGAAGCUCACUAGUAAGGAGAAAGCGGCUUGGAACAGCUUUGUCACAGUGGUUCGGGGCUUCCUGGGCAAUCACAAGGCCGAAAACUAUGUGGAGCUGGUUGAGACUCUGGUGAAGAACUACGGCACAAUGGGCUGUAGGAUGUCCCUCAAAGUCCAUAUCCUUGAAAAUCAUCUUGAUAAAUUCAAGGAGAACAUGGGAGCGUACUCGGAGGAGCAAGGCGAGCGCUUCCACCAGGAUAUACUGGACUUUGAACGCCGCUACCAAGGACAGUAUAACGAGAACAUGAUGGGAGACUACAUUUGGGGGCUGAUUCGUGAAAGUGAUUUACAGUAUAAUCGUAAAUCUCAAACUACUCGCUUCUAAAUCUUUUGUAGUCAUUUUUGUAUUACUUUAGUAUAAAUACAUGUUAAUUUGGAGUCAUAUGUUUUUUUCUGACUUUAUGUGAACAAAAAGACACACAUUCGCCCGUUUUCUCAUUGGAAAUAGGUAAAUUUCAAAAUAUCACUGUCCUGGUCACAAAAGCAAAGUUUGGGAAUAAUAGCCAUUUUCUAUACUUUUGAGGCAUAAGCAAUUAGGAAAUAACACUUACUACCCAGGAACUAAAAUUGUGUUACAUAGUGUAGCCACAUAAACAUUAAAAAUUGUGACAGUAUGGCUUGCCGUGCGCAGGUGUGGUGACAUCACGGACCAGGAACACAAAACCAAAAUAAGGAAUGGAGGUGCAAAACUGGAGCGCAACUGCGCUCAGGGUUUUAUUAAAUAAUAAAACCAACAGUUCAAACAAAACAAAACAAAAAGGCGCGUCGGCCGAACAAACAGAAAUAAACAAAUAAGUAUCGUGCUGGUGUAAAAACCAGCACGCUUAGCAGUUUGUGUUAAUUUCUUUACCUCCAAACUCCUCACUUGUUCUCCACUCUCGAACACCCUCACCCUGAGCGCAGACAGCUGCAGGCUUUUAUAUUCUGGCCGAGGGGUUAACUAGCAAUUAAUUAAUUAUCCUAUUACCCCUCGGCCAUAGUCUGGACAAGUUUAAAAAGGAUGCGUGACUGUCAGCUAGAAAAAUAAAUUGCAGGCUCAUCAGUCACACAUCCUCACAAGGUUUUAAUCAAAUAAUGACGGCUUUCAUCCGCAAUGCAAACAAUAAUAACACAAAUAAUACAUAUAGGGGAGGGACACUCCGCCACAGAAAUGUAUAUCAAUAUAGGUAUUCCGUACAUUUAUAUACUUGUUCAAUUUCUAAUCCGUCAAAAGUGCUUUCAAGAAGAGAGGUGAAAAAAAUAAAUAAAUCUAUUUGUCCCCCCCCCAGACUAUUAGUAACAUUGUAUUUAAUGUAACAAACUUUGUAACAACAUUUCAAAUGUUACUACCCCUCUGGCUACAAUGUUUCAGUUUCAUGGAGAACAAUGCAGUAACAGCUCACAACACCUUAUAUAACUCUGUGGUCUCUCACCUCUUCUUAAGGUCAAAUGAAGUAGUGCCUUAAAUGUCUAUAUAAAUGGGAUUUUGAAUCAAUGUAUUAAAAGCUAUUUCAAUUCACUUUUACGCAACAGUUCUUUUGAACAGUGCAAUAUGUGUAAGCAACAUUUAAAAAUAACUCUUCAUAACAGAGAUCACAUUUAUCCAGAAAUGUCCAUUGUAGUUAAACACUAUUAUACCACAUGGUGCUACAGAUAAAAAUGUAACAAUGACAAAGAAUAAAAUUUCCUGAGAAGAAAAAAAUAAAGCCAUAUAAUCUUAAUCAAUACAAACUUUCACCUCUGUAGAAUCUAGUUACACUUAAAGUAUACCUUUUUCAAUAGGUGAACAGAACCGUUGAGGAUGUGCUUGGGGAAGAGGUUGUGUUUCCAGGUAUAAAAUUAAAGGACAAAAUUUGAGACUGUGAGGGCAAAUGCACAAACUGCAGUAAAUGAAACAAAGGCCCGAAAAGAAGCAGCAGUGGCAGCAAGACAAACAUUCACUCUAGAUGAAAAGGUACUAAGGAAGAACCGCAGGAGCCAGCAGAGGAAAGGGGGAAAAAUGGAUCGGGACCUUCUGGGCCCUUUCACCAUUACGGCUGUACAGGGCAAAAGUGCAGAUUUGACUGAUGAGAAAGGAAAGGUCUUUCCAAGUAUCAGCUUGGAUCACUUGGUGCCCUAUACAGAAGAGGUUCCUCGUUUACCACACAAAGUACUUUUCUAGGGUUGCUCUUGGAAGACCUGGAUCUCCGGCCCCAGCUGUGGUCAGUCGAGGAUCUCCGGCCCCAGCUGUGGUCAGACGAGGAUCUCCGGCCCCAGCUGUAGUCAGUCCAGUUAUUCUUGAGAAAUGUAAUAAAUGCAUAUAUAACAGCACUGGUGAGGAGAUUUAAUCUUGAAGGGGACGAAAAAGCCUUCCUCAUUGAAUCAUUCACCAUGAGCAAAAUAUGGCGGGGCUCAUAUCAAACACUGAGAGCUUGAUCCCAGCAAGUACAGUUUGAUUUUGGGCAUUAUAAAUGAACAUCACCACUGGACACUUGCUGUUCUGUAUCCAUCCCAAAAGAAGACUAUUUUCUUGGAUCCACUGGGAGAGUCCAAAGAAAUUUGUAGAGGAUGUUCUUGAAGGCAGACAGAGCAACUUUUCCCCCCGAAGGGAGUCCAUUGCCGUUAUCUGAAAGGAAAUGGCAAUCAGCCUUCUUAAGGAAUCAGGUAUAAAGGGUAAUAGUACAGUAUGAGAGUUAAUACCGAAGGCACUGAUGAUGCACUUGUAAUAUUCUAAGCUCUUUUUACUGCACAGAUUAAUUUUGGGCCUGGAUCAUGAAGCUGCCUUUAAGUUAGGUUUAGCUUAAAUUCUCACAAUUGACAAUACAGUAAUAGUUCAGUGAGCUUGUUAAAUCUAGCCAGGUUCAUUGCAUUAAAAUUGAUCACUUAAUUGCACUUUGUUGGGUGAGCAGCAGCGUUGUCGUGUUAAUCUUGUAUUGUACAUGAAUAAAAAAAAUUGUGCAGCUAAACAUUUAAAAUGACUGGUAAAUACAUACAUGAAGAACAAACUACUUCAUCUACAGUAGUGAAACAGUCUGGUGGUGGAGUUUCUAACUAUUUCUAACUUGCAUGUGAGACUGCAAUGUCUGGGGGCCACUAAAGUUGCUGUUUUCAGGAAUGAAUAGUUGAUACAGGUAAGAGUACCUGAGAUGUACCUAUUAGUGCACGUUCUAAAAUAUGCACCCAAAUAUGAUUAUUGCACAAAUGAUCUGAGCAGUCUGUCUGUUUUGUGGAGAGCAGGACACUCUGGGGGAUGCAGUGUCACAAGAUGAAUGGGUAAUUUAGUAGUGAACACUUUAGUUGUAUUUUUAAACUUUUUCAACUGCAACUCCAAACAUCUUCUAAUCAAAAUUAAAAAUAAAUAAAUACAGAAAUAGAAGUAGAUGUUUUCUAAAAGUUUAUGCAAAUUAAAUGUCCAUGGUUUCCAUACUUCGUUAUGAUUUCCUAAUUAAACUCUACACUGCAUUAGUUUUUCUGCACCCUCUACUUUCCUUUGUAUUUUUCAGAUUGCGUGCGAUGGCUGCAGCAGGUGGUUCCUCCACGUGUUUCACGGCCAUCAACUUAGGUCAGCUUUUGUGCAGCAUGCACAAUGUGAGGACACACAGAUGCUUCAUUUCCACUGCAGGCGCAACUGGGCCAGCCGCGCAAGAGCCGUGCCCCCGCCAAGAAACGUCUCCAGUGACGGGCCUCCCUAACCAGAGCUGUUGUAGCCUACUCGAGUCUCAGCUAAUGCUACCGUGGAACACAGAGAAGACGGCUUUGGGACUUUUUAUUGUUAUAAACAUUUCUUAUUGAUUGCUGCUGUUAGACAAUUACAUUACCUUUGCUGCUGUAACCAUUUCCAACGUUACUGAUAUUGAUAUAGUUAGCUGGUUAUUGCUGUAGCCGAACCUAUAUUUAAGUUGUGAUGGUUACUGCUGUUAUGGAUAUAGCUAUUUGUCCAUUGUUGCUAUUGCUGUAGCUAAAUCUAUAUUUGAAUUGUGAUAAUCAUUGUGAAUACUGCUGCUACUGAUCCAGCUAUUGUUAUUGCGACCAAUAUUUAGUUAUAUUUUGUAUAUGUGCUUGGCCAUUGUAGUGUGUUUUUAAUCUGAUUGUUUUAAUAAUUAAAUUAAUCCCUUUCAAAA